rnacentral:rRNA from 1 species
UAAUACGUAGGGACCGAGCGUUGUCCGGAAUCAUUGGGCGUAAAGAGCGUGUAGGCGGCCAAUUAAGUCCUGCGUGAAAUCUCGGGGCUCAACCCCGAGCGGUCGUGGGAAACUGGUUGGCUAGAGUGCGGGAGAGGAGAGUGGAAUUCCUGGUGUAGCGGUGAAAUGCGCAGAUAUCAGGAAGAACACCCGUGGCGAAGGCGGCUCUCUGGAACGCAACUGACGCUGAGACGCGAAAGCGUGGGGAGCAAACAGGAUUAGAUACCCUGGUAGUCCACGCCGUAAACGAUGGACGCUAGGUGUGGGCGGUGUCGACUCCGUCCGUGCCGAAGCUAACGCAUUAAGCGUCCCGCCUGGGGAGUACGGCCGCAAGGCUA